AUGAACGCUAGCGACAGGCUUAACACAUGCAAGUCGAGGGGCAGCGGGGGUAGCAAUACCCGCCGGCGACCGGCGCACGGGUGAGUAACGCGUAUGCAACUUACCUAUCAGAGGGGGAUAACCCGGCGAAAGUCGGACUAAUACCGCAUGAAGCAGGGGCCCCGCAUGGGGAUAUUUGCUAAAGAUUCAUCGCUGAUAGAUAGGCAUGCGUUCCAUUAGGCAGUUGGCGGGGUAACGGCCCACCAAACCGACGAUGGAUAGGGGUUCUGAGAGGAAGGUCCCCCACAUUGGUACUGAGACACGGACCAAACUCCUACGGGAGGCAGCAGUGAGGAAUAUUGGUCAAUGGCCGAGAGGCUGAACCAGCCAAGUCGCGUGAGGGAUGAAGGUUCUAUGGAUCGUAAACCUCUUUUAUAAGGGAAUAAAGUGCGGGACGUGUCCCGUUUUGUAUGUACCUUAUGAAUAAGGAUCGGCUAACUCCGUGCCAGCAGCCGCGGUAAUACGGAGGAUCCGAGCGUUAUCCGGAUUUAUUGGGUUUAAAGGGUGCGUAGGCGGCCUUUUAAGUCAGCGGUGAAAGUCUGUGGCUCAACCAUAGAAUUGCCGUUGAAACUGGGGGGCUUGAGUAUGUUUGAGGCAGGCGGAAUGCGUGGUGUAGCGGUGAAAUGCAUAGAUAUCACGCAGAACCCCGAUUGCGAAGGCAGCCUGCCAAGCCAUUACUGACGCUGAUGCACGAAAGCGUGGGGAUCAAACAGGAUUAGAUACCCUGGUAGUCCACGCAGUAAACGAUGAUCACUAGCUGUUUGCGAUACACUGUAAGCGGCACAGCGAAAGCGUUAAGUGAUCCACCUGGGGAGUACGCCGGCAACGGUGAAACUCAAAGGAAUUGACGGGGGCCCGCACAAGCGGAGGAACAUGUGGUUUAAUUCGAUGAUACGCGAGGAACCUUACCCGGGUUUGAACGCAUUCGGACCGAGGUGGAAACACCUUUUCUAGCAAUAGCCGUUUGCGAGGUGCUGCAUGGUUGUCGUCAGCUCGUGCCGUGAGGUGUCGGCUUAAGUGCCAUAACGAGCGCAACCCUUGCCACUAGUUACUAACAGGUAAAGCUGAGGACUCUGGUGGGACUGCCAGCGUAAGCUGCGAGGAAGGCGGGGAUGACGUCAAAUCAGCACGGCCCUUACAUCCGGGGCGACACACGUGUUACAAUGGCGUGGACAAAGGGAAGCCACCUGGCGACAGGGAGCGAAUCCCCAAACCACGUCUCAGUUCGGAUCGGAGUCUGCAACCCGACUCCGUGAAGCUGGAAUCGCUAGUAAUCGCGCAUCAGCCAUGGCGCGGUGAAUACGUUCCCGGGCCUUGUACACACCGCCCGUCAAGCCAUGGGAGCCGGGGGUACCUGAAGUCCGUAACCGAAAGGAUCGGCCUAGGGUAAAACUGGUGACUGGGGCU
rnacentral:rRNA from 1 species